rnacentral:tRNA from 1 species
GCAGUGGUGGUUCAGUGGUAGAAUUCUUGUCUUCCAUGUGGGAGACCCAGGUUCGAUUCCUGGCCAGUGAA